CCAGACUCCUACGGGAGGCAGCAGUGAGGAAUAUUGGUCAAUGGGCGAGAGCCUGAACCAGCCAAGUCGCGUGAAGGAUGACGGCCCUACGGGUUGUAAACUUCUUUUGUCAGGGAGCAAUUGAGUCCACGUGUGGGCUUAGCGAGAGUACCUGAAGAAAAAGCAUCGGCUAACUCCGUGCCAGCAGCCGCGGUAAUACGGAAGGUCCGGGCGUUAUCCGGAUUUAUUGGGUUUAAAGGGAGCGUAGGCCGGCUUUUAAGUCAGCUGUGAAAGUCCGCGGCUCAACCGUGGAAUUGCAGUUGAAACUGGAGGCCUUGAGUGCACACAGGGAUGCCGGAAUUCAUGGUGUAGCGGUGAAAUGCAUAGAUAUCGCGCAGAACUCCGAUUGCGAAGGCAGCAUGCCGGCUCCACACUGACGCUGAGGCACGAAAGCGUGGGUAUCGAACAGGAUUAGAUACCCCUGUAA
rnacentral:rRNA from 1 species